GACCAGAGAAAGAGCUUUGAGAGCACCGACGUUUUGCUCUGCCUCUCAACUGAAGCUACCUUCUUCCUCCUCCAUCGAAGCCAGCAACGUCGUUCGUGUAGCCGUCGUCGAAGCUCUGGUUAUUCGCUCACCUCAGCUGUGAUUUUUUUCAAGUUCCUGCUGUUCGUCCGUUCGCCUCUGCUGCUGAUUCAAGAAUGAAAAGUUUUUCUUUCUCUUAGCUUCUAGUUCGCGUGGGUAUAAAAGAUUUGGUUUUCUUCACUGUUCACCAUCGUCCUCCUUCCUCUGUCCGUGCGUGUUGAUUCAUUGGAGGGUGUGUGGAAGAACAAGACCCUGAAAAGACUUAAAAGAAGAAUACUUUCGGGAGUUUAGAACUUCAAUAGAUUGGUUAGCUGACGCUGAUUCCACCAACGACCUCAAAAAGGGCAACUAGCUACAAUGGGUGAAUCUUUUUGAUUGUGAAAUAUACCACCCAGACAUCGAGUAUCUACCAGGAGCUCCACUAGCAAUAGAGCCUCUGGCAGAAUUUCUCUGACAGAUGAUAUGCCCUUGAGAGCUAGAGGACGGCGUCAGAGUAGAAUUAGGGCUAGGGGUGGUCGAACCCUUAGGAAUCUACAAGAUAUUCCUUCUAGAAGUGAACAAGUAAGUCCUCAAUCUGAGGAGCAGACUGUUCCUUCAACACAUGAUACAACAGAGGAAAAUCUCGCAGUUAAGUUAUCAGAAUUUAUGAAGUAAAAUCCACAAUCUUUUUCGGGAACUAAUGCACGGGAGGACCCAAUUGAGUUUCUUGAAGGAAUAGAGAAGAGAUGUAAGGCCUUGAGAUGCCCUGAUGUUCAGUAUGUUGAGUUUGCAGUGUUUCAGCUUUAGGGAGUGGCAAGUACUUGGGCAAAAACAGUCUCAGGUUUGCAUGCGACUAGAGUACCUUCUUUAACUUGGGAAGAGUUCAAGACUACAUUUUUGAAUCGUUAUUUCCUAGAUUUUUACUUGUC